UCCCUGGUGGCCUAGAGGUUAAAGCAUCUGCCUGCAAUGCGGGAGACCUGGGUUCGAUCCCUGGGUUGGGAA
rnacentral:tRNA from 1 species